GAACUAACGCUGGCGGCGUGGCUUAGGCAUGCAAGUCGAACGGCAAAGGUCGCAAGACCCUGUAAGUGGCGAAAGGGUGAGUACUGCUCAGGCAAUCUGCCCCUGGGACGGGGAUAGCCGCGGGAAACUGCGGGUAAUACCGGAUGGGCUCACGACGGCCGAGGCCGACGUGAGUAAAGGGUGGGGAUCCGCAAGGACCUUCCGCCCAGGGAGGAGCUUGAGUCCUAUCAGGUAGUUGGCGGGGUAACGGCCCACCAAGCCUACGACGGGUACCCGGACUGAGAGGUUGGCCGGGCACACUGGCACUGAGACACUGGCCAGACUCCUACGGGAGGCUGCAGUCGAGAAUUUUCCGCAAUGGGCGCAAGCCUGACGGAGCGACGCCGCGUGGAGGAAGAAGGCCU
rnacentral:rRNA from 1 species